ensembl:snRNA U2 U2 spliceosomal RNA
AUCGUCUCUUGGCCUUUUGGCUAAGAUCAUGUGUAGUAUCUGCUCUUAUCAGUUUAAAAAUGAAAUCAUUGAUUCACAAAGACAGAGAGAAUGGUGGGUAAGUGAUCUUUA